rnacentral:rRNA from 1 species
GAUGAACGCUAGCGGCAGGCUUAACACAUGUAAGUCGAGGGGUAGAAGUUGCUUGCAACUUUGAGACCGGCGCACGGGUGCGUAACGCGUAUGCAAUCUACCUUAUACAGAGGGAUAGCCCAGAGAAAUUUGGAUUAAUACCUCAUAGUAUAAUUGAAUGGCAUCAUUUAAUUAUUAAAGUUCCAACGGUAUAAGAUGAGCAUCCGUCCUAUUGUCUAGAUGGUAAGGUAACGGCUUACCAUGGCAACGAUAGGUAGGGGUCCUGAGAGGGAGAUCCCCCACACUGGUACUGAGACACGGACCAGACUCCUACGGGAGGCAGCAGUUAGGAAUAUUGGACAAUGGGCGCAAGCCUGAUCCAGCCAUGCCGCGUGCAGGAAGAAGCAUCUAUGGUGUGUAAACUGCUUCUGUACGGGAAGAAACACCCCUUCGUGAAGGGACUUGACGGUACCGUAAGAAUAAGGAUCGGCUAACUCCGUGCCAGCCGCCGCAGUAACAC